rnacentral:rRNA from 1 species
GACGAACGCUGGCGGCGUGCUUAACACAUGCAAGUCGAACGGAAAGGCCCUGCUUUUGUGGGGUGCUCGAGUGGCGAACGGGUGAGUAACACGUGAGUAACCUGCCCUUGACUUUGGGAUAACUUCAGGAAACUGGGGCUAAUACCGGAUAGGAGCUCCUGCUGCAUGGUGGGGGUUGGAAAGUUUCGGCGGUUGGGGAUGGACUCGCGGCUUAUCAGCUUGUUGGUGGGGUAGUGGCUUACCAAGGCUUUGACGGGUAGCCGGCCUGAGAGGGUGACCGGCCACAUUGGGACUGAGAUACGGACCAGACUCCUACGGGAGGCAGCAGUGGGGAAUCUUGCACAAUGGGCGGAAGCCUGAUGCAGAAACGCCGCGUGCGGGAUGACGGCCUUCGGGUUGUAAACCGCUUUCGCCUGUGACGAAGCGUGAGUGACGGUAAUGGGUAAAGAAGCACCGGCUAACUACGUG